GCUCCUGUAGCCCAAUUGGAAGAGGCACCGGGUUUAGGUUCCGGUCAGUGGGGGUUCGACUCCCUCCAGGAGCACCA
rnacentral:tRNA from 1 species